GAUUCUCCCUGACAGUCUCUCUCUCUCCCCCAGACGCCACUGCCCCCUCGCUGCCCCCCAUGCCAGAACGGGGGGCGCUGCCAGCUGGGCGGCCCCUCCCCACCCCACUGCCGCUGCCCCCCAGCCUGGGGCCCUAUGCCAGCAGCCAGAGAGCCCCUGCCAGGCAGCCGCCCAGAGACGAGGUGCUGAGGGGGGGCCAGGGGGAGGGGCAGUGGGGGGAAGGGAGGCUCUGGGGGGAUAUGGGGGUCAGCUCGAGCUGGGGGCUCAUUGGCCUGCUGUGCCCCCAGGGGUGCCGCUGGAGGAGCUGUGUGGGAACGGGGGGCACUGCAUGGACGAGGGGGGGACCCCGCGCUGCUCCUGCCCCACAGGCUGGGGGGGCCCAUCCUGCCGCAAGGAGGCCGAUCGGUGCCAACCGGACCCCUGUGAACAUGGGGCCACCUGCCUGGCCCGGCCCGGGGGCUACGUCUGCCAGGUGAGCUCCCCGGAUGCCGGGGUCCCUCCCCGGAUGCUGGGGUUCCUCGGCCCUGCUCUUGGGGAGGGACCCUGCAUGGGCUGACCCCCGACCUCUCCCCACUGCAGUGCCUGCCUGGGCAGCGCGGGGUGAACUGUUCAGAGCUGGGGCCCGGGGGGCCCUGCCACCCCCAGCCCUGCCAGAAUGGGGGCACCUGCACCUUUCGCCCCACCGGCCCCCACUGCGCCUGCCCCUCUGGUACUCAAGGUCCGUCGUGUUCCUGGUGGUGGAUGGGUCCCGCUGCGCCGGUCGCUGCCUGACGACCCCCGAGGGCGCCCGGCGCUUCCUGGGGGCUCUGGCUGCCUCCAACGCUCUGGGGGCGCUGACCCCCCACCCCGUGGCGGCCGUGUGGGUCGAAGAGGCCAACAGUGGCUGACGCCCCCCCCCUCGGACCAGGACCGCUGGCACUGGACAUGCAAGGACCCAAGUGCCGGGGCUCCCGUCCCACAAUGCAUCAUGCUGACCCUGCCCCAGGAUGAGGCCCCCGAGGGGCGGGACCUCGAUGCCAGGGGGCCAGAUGGGGUGACGCCGCUGAUGGCAGCGGUGUGCGCGGGGGGCGCCGUGGGGGAGCUGUUGGCGCAGGGGGCACGGCUGGACGCCCAG
rnacentral:lncRNA from 1 species